GAUGAACGCUGGCGGCGUGCCUAAUACAUGCAAGUCGAGCGAACAGACGAGGAGCUUGCUCCUCUGACGUUAGCGGCGGACGGGUGAGUAACACGUGGAUAACCUACCUAUAAGACUGGGAUAACUUCGGGAAACCGGAGCUAAUACCGGAUAAUAUAUUGAACCGCAUGGUUCAAUAGUGAAAGACGGUUUUGCUGUCACUUAUAGAUGGAUCCGCGCCGCAUUAGCUAGUUGGUAAGGUAACGGCUUACCAAGGCAACGAUGGGUAGCCGACCUGAGAGGGUGAUCGGCCACACUGGAACUGAGACACGGUCCAGACUCCUACGGGAGGCAGCAGUAGGGAAUCUUCCGCAAUGGGCGAAAGCUUGACGGAGCAACGCCGCGUGAGUGAUGAAGGUCUUCGGAUCGUAAAACUCUGUUAUUAGGGAAGAACAAAUGUGUAAGUAACUAUGCACGUCUUGACGGUACCUAAUCAGAAAGCCACGGCUAACUACGUG
rnacentral:rRNA from 1 species